GCCUACGGGGGGCAGCAGUGGGGAAUAUUGCGCAAUGGGCGAAAGCCUGACGCAGCGACGCCGCGUGAGGGAUGAAGGUCUUCGGAUCGUAAACCUCUGUCAGCAGGGAAGAACGGUCACUGUGCUAAUCAGCAGUGAAUUGACGGUACCUGCAAAGGAAGCACCGGCUAACUCCGUGCCAGCAGCCGCGGUAAUACGGAGGGUGCGAGCGUUAAUCGGAAUUACUGGGCGUAAAGCGCUCGUAGGCGGUAUGUCAAGUCAAGGGUGAAAUCCCCGCGCUCAACGUAGGAACUGCCUUUGAAACG
rnacentral:rRNA from 1 species